rnacentral:rRNA from 1 species
UACGUAGGGUGCGAGCGUUGUCCGGAAUUAUUGGGCGUAAAGAGCUCGUAGGCGGUCUGUCGCGUCGGAUGUGAAAACCCGGGGCUCAACUCCGGGCCUGCAGCCGAUACGGGCAGACUAGAGUUCGGCAGGGGAGACUGGAAUUCCUGGUGUAGCGGUGAAAUGCGCAGAUAUCAGGAGGAACACCAAUUGCGAAGGCAGCUCGCUGGGACGUUACUGACGCUGAGACGCGAAAGCGUGGGGAGCAAACAGG